UAGCAAUGGACGUAGUAGUGAAGUGGUUGUGGAGGUUGAUGAAGAAGAGAGCGGAGCUGAUGAUGAUGAUGGAGAUGUGAUGAGGAAUGGGCGCGGUGAAGGGGUUGAUGAAGAAGAGAGCGGAGCUGAUGAUGACGACAGAGAUGAGAGGCCUGAAGUGAUGGGCAAUGGGCACAGUGAAGGGGCUGAUGAAGAAGAGAGCGGAGCUGAUGAUGAGGGAGAAGAUGGUGAGGAGAGGCCAAAUGUGAUGAGAAAUGGGCGGAAUGAAGGGGUUGUGGAGGGUGAUGAAGAAGAGAGCGGAGCUGAUGACGACGACGGAGAUGAGAGGCCUGAAGUGAUGAGCAAUGGGCAUAGUGAAGGGGUUGAUGAGGAAGAGAGCGGAGCCGAUGAUGAUGAUGAUGGUGAGGAGAGGCCAAAUGUGAUGAGCAAUGGGCGGAAUGAAGAGGUUGUGGAGGGUGAUGAAGAGGAGAGCGGAGCUGAUGAUGAUGAUGGAGAUGAUGGUGAGGAGAGGCCAGAUGUGAUGAGCAAUAGGCACGGUGAAGGGGUUGUGGAGGGUGAUGAAGAGGAGAGCGGGGCUGAUGAUGACGAAGGAGAUGAUCCAGAGAUUGAUGCUGAUGGCGAAGUGACGGUUACGGGAAGACAGUCCAAUGAGUUGCGAGAUGAACAUCUGAAUAUGGAUGAAGAAGAUGAUGUUGAUGAUAGUGAUGAGGAUGAUGGGGAAGAUGAAUAUGAACAGGAUGGCUUGAUUGUUGAUGAUACGCAUGAUAUUGAGGAAGAGGUGAGCGAGGAAGAGAUGGAGCAAAGGGUGAGCGGUUUAGUUGCCAACGGAGCUCAAAAUGUAGUUAUGAAUAUUGACGAAGAAGAAAAUGACGAGAGUGGUGAGGAAGAUGAAUAUGAACCGGAUGGUUUGCUUGUUGAUGAUACACAUGAAAUAGAGGAGGAAGAUGUCGUGGAAGAGAUGGAUCUUGGUGUGCAACAUGGGAAUGAGUUGCUGAGGAACAUCUUGGUUGGAGAGAUUGAACAUGAGCAGGAAGAGGAUGAUGACGACGAGAGCUGGGA
rnacentral:lncRNA from 1 species